GAGGGCGCCAAUGCUAACCUGCUAAUCUAGCACACCAGCGCUAAAAUGCUGGCACCCUU
rnacentral:tRNA from 1 species